rnacentral:rRNA from 1 species
GACGAACGCUGGCGGCGUGCUUAACACAUGCAAGUCGAACGGAAAGGCCCUGCUUUUGUGGGGUGCUCGAGUGGCGAACGGGUGAGUAACACGUGAGUAACCUGCCCUUGACUUUGGGAUAACUUCAGGAAACUGGGGCUAAUACCGGAUAGGAGCUCCUGCUGCAUGGUGGGGGUUGGAAAGUUUCGGCGGUUGGGGAUGGACUCGCGGCUUAUCAGCUUGUUGGUGGGGUAGUGGCUUACCAAGGCUUUGACGGGUAGCCGGCCUGAGAGGGUGACCGGCCACAUUGGGACGGAGAUACGGCCCAGACUCCUACGGGAGGCAGCAGUGGGGAAUAUUGAACAAUGGGCGGAAGCCUGAUGCAGCAACGCCGCGUGCGGGAUGACGGCCUUCGGGUUGUAAACCGCUUUCGCCUGUGACGAAGCGUGAGUGACGGUAAUGGGUAAAGAAGCACCGGCUAACUACGUG